UACGGAGGGUGCAAGCGUUAUCCGGAUUCACUGGGUUUAAAGGGUGCGUAGGUGGGUUGGUAAGUCAGUGGUGAAAUACUUUCGCUUAACGAAGGAACUGCCAUUGAUACUACCAGUCUUGAAUACAGUGGAGGUAGGCGGAAGUGCGUCAUGUAGCGGUGAAAUGCUUAGAUAUGACGCAGAACACCAAUUGCGAAGGCAGCUUGCUACACUGUUAUUGACACUGAGGCACGAAAAGCGUGGGGGAUCAAACAGG
rnacentral:rRNA from 1 species